rnacentral:rRNA from 1 species
UACGUAGGAGGCGAGCGUUGUCCGGAAUUACUGGGCGUAAAGAGCGCGUAGGUGGCGCGAUACGACCGGUGUGAAAUCCUCCGGCUCAACUGGAGGGGGUCACUGGUAACGGUCGUGCUAUGAGUGCAGGAGAGGGAAGUGGAACUCCGGGAGUAGCGGUGAAAUGCGUAGAGACCCGGAGGAACACCGACGGCGCAGGCAGCGUCCUGGCCGCUUGCUGACACUGAGGCACGGAAGCUGGGGGAGCAAACAGG